rnacentral:rRNA from 1 species
GCUCCACCAUAUUUAUUUACACGAAGAUAGAGAUAUUUAACAAUUUAGUAUAGAAAUAGACUUAAGUAAAUAAGUGCAAGCGGUAGAUGCCUUGGCAUUCAGAGGCGAUGAAGGACGUGUUAAUCUGCGAUAAGCUUCGGGGAGCUGGUAAAUAAGCUUUGAUCCGGAGAUUUCCGAAUGGGGGAACCCACCUAACACAAGUUAGGUACUCACUCGACAUAGAGUGUAGAGCGAACGAGGGGAACUGAAACAUCUAAGUACCCUUAGGAAGAGAAAUCAAUUGAGAUUCCCAUAGUAGUGGCGAGCGAAGUGGGAAGAGCCUGGUGUGAUUUAGCUGUAAUUAUAGUAGAACAAGUUGGGAAGCUUGACGAUAGAGGGUGAUAGUCCCGUAUACGAAAUAAUUACAGUGGAACUAAGCAUGCGAACAAGUAGGACGGGGCACGUGAAACCUUGUCUGAAUAUGGGGGGACCAUCCUCCAAGGCUAAAUACUCCUGAAUGACCGAUAGUGAACUAGUACCGUGAGGGAAAGGUGAAAAGAACCCUUAUAAAGGGAGUGAAAUAGAAUCUGAAACCGCUUGCAUACAAGCAGUAGGAGCAUUAUUUAGUAAUGUGACUGCGUACCUUUUGUAUAAUGGGUCAGCGAGUUACUUUUAGUGGCGAGGAUAACUGAAUAAGGGAUCCGUAGCGAAAGCGAGUUUUAAUAGGGCGAUAAGUCGCUAGGAGUAGACCCGAAACCGGCGCGAUCUAUCCAUGGCCAGGUUGAAGGUUGGGUAAUACCAACUGGAGGACCGAACCCAAUACUGUUGCAAAAGUAUGGGAUGAGCUGUGGAUCGGAGUGAAGGCUAAUCAAGCACGGAGAUAGCUGGUUCUCCUCGAAAACUAUUUAGGUAGUGCCUCGUGUAUAACUCAUUGGGGUAAAGCACUGUUUCGACAAUGGGGGUUUUACGACCUUACUGACUCGAUGCAAACUCAGAAUACGAUGAAGUUCAAUCACGGGAGACACACUGCGGGUGCUAAGGUCCGUAGUGGAAAGGGAAACAGCCCAGACCGCCAACUAAGGUCCCCAAGUCAUAGCUAAGUGGGAAACGAAGUGGGAAGGCCCAGACAGCCAGGAGGUUGGCUUAGAAGCAGCCACCCUUUAAAGAAAGCGUAAUAGCUCACUGGUCGAGUCGGCCUGCACGUAAGAUUUAACGGGGCUAAGCUAUGCACCGAAGUUGUGGAAUAUAUUUAGUAUAUUGGUAGGGGAGCGUUCUGUAAGCCGAUGAAGGUGUGUUGAGAAGCAUGCUGGAGGUAUCAGAAGUGCGAAUGCUGACAUGAGUAACGUAAAAUAAGUGAGAUUCUUAUUGGCCGAAAACCCAAGGAUUCCUACGCAAUGUUAAUCAACGUAGGGUAAGCCGGCCCCUAAGGCGUAGCUGAAGAGUGAAGUCGAUGGGAAACAGGUUAAUAUUCCUGUGCCGCUUAUAUGAACGAAGGAGGGACGGAGAAGGUUAGGUAGGCCUGGCGGAUGGUUGUCCAGGUGAAAGUAUGUAGGUAGAGGUGCUAGGCAAAUCCGGCAUCUUGUUGAUCUGAGAUACGAGACGAAGUCAAACAAGUUUGACAAAGCUAUUGAUACCAUGCUUCCAGGAAAAGCUUCUAAGUAUAUUAUAUAAGCGACCGUACUGUAAACCGACACUGGUGGGUAGGUAGAGAAUACUAAGGCUAUGAGAUAACUCUGGUGAAGGAACUAGGCAAAAUGACACCGUAACUUUGGAAGAAGGUGUGCCAUUGAUGGUGAUGAGACUUGCUCUCUGAGCUGUUGGGGGUUGCAAAUACCAGGUGGCUGCGACUGUUUAUCAAAAACACAGCACUCUGCUAAAUCGUAAGAUGAAGUAUAGGGUGUGACGCCUGCCCGGUGCUGGAAGGUUAAUUGAAGGGGUUAGCGCAAGCGAAGCUCUGGAUCGAAGCCCCAGUAAACGGCGGCCGUAACUAUAACGGUCCUAAGGUAGCGAAAUUCCUUGUCGGGUAAGUUCCGACCUGCACGAAUGGCGUAACGACGGCCACACUGUCUCCACCAGAGACUCAGUGAAAUUGAAAUCGCUGUGAAGAUGCAGUGUACCCGCGGUUAGACGGAAAGACCCCGUGAACCUUUACUAUAGCUUUGCACUGGACUUUGAAUAUUUAUGUGUAGGAUAGGUGGGAGACUUUGAAGUAGCUACGCCAGUAGUUGUGGAGUCGUCCUUGAAAUACCACCCUUGAAUAUUUGAAGUUCUAACUCAGGAGAGAUUCGAGGACAGUGUAUGGUGGGUAGUUUGACUGGGGCGGUCUCCUCCUAAAGAGUAACGGAGGAGUACGAAGGUGCACUCGGUACGGUCGGAAAUCGUGCCAAGAGUAUAAAGGCAAAAGUGCGCUUGACUGCGAGAGUGACGGCUCGAGCAGGUACGAAAGUAGGUCUUAGUGAUCCGGUGGUCCCGUAUGGAAGGGCCAUCGCUCAACGGAUAAAAGGUACUCCGGGGAUAACAGGCUGAUUCCUCCCAAGAGUUCAUAUCGACGGAGGAGUUUGGCACCUCGAUGUCGGCUCAUCACAUCCUGGGGCUGAAGCAGGUCCCAAGGGUAUGGCUGUUCGCCAUUUAAAGUGGUACGCGAGCUGGGUUCAGAACGUCGUGAGACAGUUCGGUCCCUAUCUGCCGUGGGCGUUAGAGAUUUGAGAAGAGUUGCUUCCUAGUACGAGAGGACCGGAGUGAACGAACCACUGGUGUUCCGGUUGUUUCGCCAGAAGCAUUGCCGGGUAGCUACGUUCGGAAGGGAUAACCGCUGAAAGCAUCUAAGCGGGAAGCCUCCUUCAAGAUUAGAUCUCUCUGAUGAAGAUCAGUAAGGAACGUUGGAGACUACGACGUUGAUAGGCUGGGUGUGGAAGUAUAGCAAUGUAUGAAGCUUACCAGUACUAAUGAUCCGAGAGACUUAAGUCUAUUUCUAUGCUGAAUUGUUAAAUAUCUUUUAAGAUAUAUUAUCCAAAACACAGUUUUGGCGAUAAUAGCUUGUAGGAACCACCUGAUCCCAUUCCGAACUCAGA